rnacentral:rRNA from 1 species
CCAGACUCCUACGGGAGGCAGCAGUGGGGGAUAUUGCACAAUGGGGGAAACCCUGAUGCAGCGACGCCGCGUGUGGGAAGACGGUCCUCUGGAUUGUAAACCACUGUCCCCAGGGACGAAGAUGACGGUACCUGACUAAGAAGCCCCGGCUAACUACGUGCCAGCAGCCGCGGUAAUACGUAGGGGGCGAGCGUUAUCCGGAUUCACUGGGUGUAAAGGGAGCGUAGACGGCCAUGCAAGCCAGGGGUGAAAGCCCGGGGCCCAACCCCGGGACUGCCCUUGGAACUGCAUGGCUGGAGUGCGGGAGGGGCAGGCGGAAUUCCUGGUGUAGCGGUGAAAUGCGUAGAUAUCAGGAGGAACACCGGCGGCGAAGGCGGCCUGCUGGACCGCGACUGACGUUGAGGCUCGAAAGCGUGGGGAGCGAACAGGAUUAGAUACCCCAGUA